CAGCCGCCGCGGUAAUACGAAGGGGGCUAGCGUUGUUCGGAUUUACUGGGCGUAAAGCGCACGUAGGCGGAUUCUUAAGUCAGAGGUGAAAUCCCAAGGCUCAACCUUGGAACUGCCUUUGAUACUGGGGAUCUUGAGUUCGGGAGAGGUGAGUGGAACUGCGAGUGUAGAGGUGAAAUUCGUAGAUAUUCGCAAGAACACCAGUGGCGAAGGCGGCUCACUGGCCCGAUACUGACGCUGAGGUGCGAAAGCGUGGGGAGCAAACAGGAUUAGAUACCCCGGUAGUCCCUGUCUCUUAUAC
rnacentral:rRNA from 1 species